rnacentral:siRNA from 1 species
ACAAAGCUGAAAAUAGGACUGGGC